rnacentral:rRNA from 1 species
GGUGAGUAACACGUGGAUAACCUAUCUAUAAGACUGGGAUAACUUCGGGAAACCGGAGCUAAUACCGGAUAAUAUAUUGAACCGCAUGGUUCAAUAGUGAAAGACGGUUUUGCUGUCACUUAUAGAUGGAUCCGCGCCGCAUUAGCUAGUUGGUAAGGUAACGGCUUACCAAGGCAACGAUGCGUAGCCGACCUGAGAGGGUGAUCGGCCACACUGGAACUGAGACACGGUCCAG